AAUCACUCAACUCUCAAACAAUGACAGGCCUGACAUAUGUUGCCAGGCCACCAGAAAGGACUCAUGGUGGAAUUACAUUUGCUACAGCAGCAAGCGACAUUGGUUGGCGCGAUAGUCGGCUUACAAACUGCUAUAGUAUACUGAAGUAAAUAGAUAUAUGCCUUAGGGUACAAAUUGCGUAUAUAUUCGCUCCAAGCAGAAUUAUUAGUAUUCGGAACAAUGUCAUUGCGCAACAAAAAGUUCCUAGGCAACUGUUCACUUGGUCCAAAAAGAACAGGCCGCAAAGAAGUCCAGGAAUUGAUCAUGCAUUUGUUGGUAUUUAUUUCUGUUACGUUGCCAAAGAAUGAUAAAGAUUUUAAAUUUGAUAGCAUUGAAAAAGGGGAUUGGUCUUGUUUGACAAACUCAAAACCGAGAUACCAAUUUGCUUUUUCAGCACAAGUUACGUGACUUGUCAAACCAGAAUUUGGACUAGAAACACAAACACCAAAACUAUUGCCGCAUACUUCACACUUUUUUUCCCAACGAUUCGGAGGCAAUUGAGCAAUUCCACAGACAGGUUCCGACUCCUCGGCGGGAACAUAAACAUCGGGUGUCCACGAAGCACAAAUUAAAUGAACCCAAUUUCCUUCAACCGUCUUUUUCAUUAGGGAAUGAGAAGCAGAUUGCAAACACAAGACACAGUGAUUAUCGUUAUUCUGUCCCAAGUUAUCGUUGGAUCGACAACUAAGACAAGCCCAUGAUAAAACUUGAUCUUUUUUUGCAUAACUUUUCUUUCCACUAACAAUGCCAGGAGACGCACUGUUUCUAGUAGUUCUUCCAGAUAAAUGUGAUGCAGAAACGAGCAUUUGUUCAUUUUCAGCAUAAUCGUCACAAACAUAACAUCGUUCAUGAACACAUGUUCCACAUUUAAAGCAUACUAAAAGCCCCUCAGUUCCAACAAUGCCACACAAAGCACAGCACUUCUUGCGGUCUUCACUAAAAUUAACGUCAUCCUUGUUUUUUAUAUUAUUUUGACGAGCUCUUUUAACUGUAUCUGCCUUAACAUUAAUAGUUGAAUCAUGAGUCAACGUAAAGUUGUCAAAAGUUUUCGUAGAUACUCGGGGGUUUUCCAUUAACGAGGAC